GUUUUUUUUUGGUUUUG
rnacentral:sRNA from 1 species